rnacentral:misc_RNA from 1 species
CGAGCUUUUGGGAGAAAGUGAGAAGAAAAAUCCAUAUCACAUGAAUCGAGGAACGUGCGUAUUAGUUAUGCUGCUAUCUGUAACGGUGUUUGUUUGUCCGUUAACGUCAGCUUGGCAAUCUCCGCCUACUUUUCUCUCUGCUCUGUGCGUCUGCAGCAAGUUCGUGUUCCUUUAAUCCUGUUAUUGUGGCUUUUAAUUUUGUGUCAAAUCCUUACUAAUUAGCUUCUUCAUAAUCUCAUUUGUCGUUGUACUAUCAUUAAUUUUCCUUAAUUAAGGCGCUUAACCACCAGCACCCUCUGAAUAUUUAUACGUCUCGCUCCCUCUUCAGCUCAAUAGACUCCAAUUUCAAAGAUUGAUGAUGACCAGAAGUGCCCAAAGCAGAAGAAACGAAACCCUAGAUUCCUCGAUUCUCUAAAUUCUCCUCUUUCUUUAUACCUUUGCUCUCCAUACCCUCUGUAAAACCCAUCUCAAGUCCCCAAUUCCAAGUCCUCUAGGGUUUGGUUCUUGGAUGGAUUUUCAAUUGGCCAAGAAAGGGUUCGAUUUCUCCCGGAGCAAGAAGAAAUGGCUGAUUUUACUAGCCCUUUCUGGUGUCUCUGGUUAUGGACUUUACAAGGUGUAUAAUUUGCCAUCCGUGGUUAUGAAAAGGAGGAGAUUGAUCAAACUUAUGGGAGCCUUAAUUUCUAUUGCUGAAAUGGUGUCCGAUUCCGCUGAGACGAUUGACAUUGUUUCAAGGGAUUUGAAGGAGUUUCUGCGUUCCGAUUUGGAUGAAAUACCUAAUAGCUUCAAACAAAUUUCUAAGAUUGUCAAAUCGGAUGAGUUCUCCCAGUUGUUGACUGGGGUUUCUCAGGCGUUCACAGUUGGGAUUCUGAGAGGCUAUAAGUUGGAGUCAACAAAUGAUCAAUUGGCAUCAGGUUCAAGGAAUUCAAGUUUCGCUGAUAAGGCGAUGGACAGGUUGUUCUCUACUGCUGGGACUGGGCUUGUUUCGGUCGUUGUUGGUAGUUUUGCCAGGAAUUUGGUUUUGGGGUUUUAUUCUAACGUUGGAGCUGGUGUGGAUCAAAGUGGCUCGAGCAUAUCUGAUGUACCUAGAUGGGUUAGUGUGGUUUGUAAUGAUCGGUGCAAGGAACUUAUAGCUGAAUGCAUACAGAAGUUUGUGAGCACAGCAACUGCUGUUUAUCUUGACAAGACAAUGAACGUCAACACUUUUGAUGAAUUGUUCUCUGGCAUGACCAAUCCGAAUCAUCAAAGCAAUGUGAGAGACAUUCUGGUUUCGGUCUGUAAUAGUGCUGUAGAAACGCUUGUUAAAACAUCUCACCAGGUGUUGAAAAAUUCAAAUUCCAAUUCCAACCUGAAUUCAGGUUCCAAUUCUCGUUCUACAUAUUCAAUUGUUGAGCAGAGUGAAAGACCAAGCAGAGAUGAUUGUCUCAAGCAAGAAGUAUGUUUGAAAGAUGGAUACUCACUUGAAGGGGUUCAGAACCGUGGAUGGUUUGGUAAGGUUUCUUCCACUUUGGCUGUGCCAAGCAAUAGGAAGUUUGUGCUCGAUGUGACUGGGAAGGUGACUUUUGGAACAAUAAGGUCUAUUGUGGAGUUCUUGUUGUGGAAAAUAUCAGAUUGCUUGAAGAGAAGCCUUAAUGUAGUUCAUGAAGAGGUUGUAGAUAGGGGACUAGAGGUUAUUAGAUACUUUGGGGCAAAGUCGUCUGUUAUUGUUACCAUAUGUCUUGCCCUGUAUUUGCAUGUUCUGGGUGGCACUAGGAUUCUCUUACCUGCUUAAUUUUGAUGGCCUUGUCCCUCCCUAAUAAAGCAUUUCUGUUUAUGACAUAGACCUGUUUUGUAUGUAUGUCUUUGUAUCCUCAGUUCAAAACUUUAAUGAAAUAUUCGCUCACCUUCUCAUUUUGAUGGUUGUCUUUGUCUUCAAUAUAUUCUGUGUAACGGGGCUAUGCUCAUUAUUAGUGCUAAUGUUAAAUUAAAA